UAAGUUAGAUAGGGAAAGUUUUUCGGUGUAGGAUGAGGCUAUAUUGUAUCAGCUAGUUGGUGAGGUAAUGGCUCACCAAGGCUAUGACGCAUAACUGGUCUGAGAGGAUGAUCAGUCACACUGGAACUGAGACACGGUCCAGACUCCUACGGGAGGCAGCAGUAGGGAAUAUUGCUCAAUGGGGGAAACCCUGAAGCAGCAACGCCGCGUGGAGGAUGACACUUUUCGGAGCGUAAACUCCUUUUGUUAGGGAAGAACAAUGACGGUACCUAACGAAUAAGCACCGGCUAACUCCGUGCCAGCAGCCGCGGUAAUACGGAGGGUGCAAGCGUUACUCGGAAUCACUGGGCGUAAAGGACGCGUAGGCGGAUUAUCAAGUCUCUUGUGAAAUCCUAUGGCUUAACCAUAGAACUGCUUGGGAAACUGAUAAUCUAGAGUGAGGGAGAGGCAGAUGGAAUUGGUGGUGUAGGGGUAAAAUCCGUAGAGAUCACCAGGAAUACCCAUUGCGAAGGCGAUCUGCUGGAACUCAACUGACGCUAAUGCGUGAAAGCGUGGGGAGCAAACAGGAUUAGAUACCCUGGUAGUCCACGCCCUAAACGAUGUAUACUAGUUGUUGCUAAGCUAGUCUUGGCAGUAAUGCACCUAACGGAUUAAGUAUACCGCCUGGGGAGUACGGUCGCAAGAUUAAAACUCAAAGGAAUAGACGGGGACCCGCACAAGCGGUGGAGCAUGUGGUUUAAUUCGAAGAUACGCGAAGAACCUUACCCGGACUUGAUAUCUAACAAAUC
rnacentral:rRNA from 1 species